GCUGGUUAUAACACCUCUACAAGGGUUCAAACGAACAACCCAAAGCAUUCCAGUCCAUCAGCCUACUGGUCAACAGUGUGUUAAAUGUGACAUAGCAUUUUCUUAGAUUGACGUAUUAAAUUAAUCAUUGUAAUCUUGUACACAUUGAUGUCAGACAUGCACCUAUACCGCCCAAUGCUGUUUCUGAUGACUGGAAGGACAAGACCCCCUCUAUGUGACUGAUGACUAGGAUGAAUGCAGGAGCAGGACAAGACCCCCUCUAUGUGACUGAUGACUGGGAUGAAUGCAGGAGCAGGACAAUACCCCCUCUAUGUGACUGAUGACUGACAUAAGGUCAUGUAGCUGAUAGGCCCAUCUGGCAGACAUGAUGAUGGUCGUAAUGCUUCAUGCCAGUGUCAUAAAGAGACAUAAUACUUCAUGAUAGUGCUAUACUGUAUAUUUUCUACAAGUUAUUUAACAUUUAAAAAACUAAAUGACUAAAGACUCCAUUACAACAAAGGACUUAAGAAACAAACGUUGAAAGGAAUCUUCUUGGCAGGGAAAACACAUUUUAAUAAAUGUUGGUUUGGACACUUAUGGCAGGUGUCAUCACCAGCCAUAAACUAACAAAAUGUCACAUGUGUAAAUAUACAUUUGAGUGUUGUGACAACAGAUAUGAGAUGGUUAUGACAGUGUCAUAACAUGCUAUGACGCUGGGUGUCGAGUGUUACCGAAAUAUCUGUUAAUGCCACAUGUAUGUACACAUUUAUAUGCAUGUCAAUAUAGCAUUAGUACGAUAUCUAAAAAAAUAAAUAAUUUAAAUAGAAAAUGCUAAACAGCAAUGUCCUAUCUAUUUUAAAAUAGUUAUCUUUCUUUGUAUUUAUACUGUACACACACAACUGUUAUAUCUUAGGUUUCAAAGCGCGCAUGAAAAAUGGCACCCUAUUCCCUAGAUAAGGCACUACAGUGUCAAAAAGCAGAGCACUAUAUAGGGAAUAGGCUUCCAUUUCAGAGCCACAUGUUGGUCAAUCCAGUCAUUCUGACAAAGUUACUAAUCAGAUCAGUGGUUUGCUUCUCCAUCCGCCUGUUCCUGGAUCUGUCCUGAAACGGUCCGUCUAGUGCUCUACGGGCCCUGGCCACUAGUGUCCUGUGGUCAAUAGGGGGCCAUUGAAGUAGUGUCCUGUAGUGAAUAGGGGGCCUUGGCCACUAGUGUCCUGUCGUGAAUAGGGGGCCAUUGAAGACAGUUCUGCUGUUACAGCCCCCAUCCAGGCAAGCCCAUGACACGGGCAAACCCAUGACCCAGAGACCCGCACCCGGGCAAACCCAAGACCCAGGGACCCUCGCCCAGGCAAACCCAUGACCGAGACCCCCGCAAACCAAUGACCCAGAGACUCCCACCCAGGCAAACCCAUGACCCAGAGACCCCCGCCCAGGCAAACCCAUGACCGAGACCCCGCAAACCAAUGACCCAGAGACUCCCACCCAGGCAAACCCAUGACCCAGAGACCCCCGCCCAGGCAAACCCAUGACCCAGAGACCCCCGCCCAGGCAAACCCAUGACCCAGAGACCCACGCCCAGGCAAAUCCAUGACCCUGGCAAAUCCAUGACCCUGGCAAACCCAUGACCCAGGGACCCCCGCCCAGGCAAACCCAUGACCCAGAGACCCCCGCCCAGGCAAACCCAUGACCCAGAGACCCCCGCCCAGGCAAACCCAUGACCCAGAGACCCACGCCCAGGCAAAUCCAUGACCCUGGCAAACCCAUGACCCAGGGACCCCCGCCCAGGCAAACC
ensembl:lncRNA